GUAGUCCACGCCGUAAACGAUGAGAACUAGAUGUCGGGGGGGAUUAGCCCCUCGGUGUCGUAGCUAACGCGCUAAGUUCUCCGCCUGGGGAGUACGGCCGCAAGGUUGAAACUCAAAGAAAUUGACGGGGACCCGCACAAGCGGUGGAGCAUGUGGUUUAAUUCGAUGCAACGCGAAGAACCUUACCUGGUCUUGACAUCCUCGGAACCCUGCAGCGAUGCGGGGGUGCCUUCGGGAGCCGAGAGACAGGUGCUGCAUGGCUGUCGUCAGCUCGUGUCGUGAGAUGUUGGGUUAAGUCCCGCAACGAGCGCAACCCUCGCCCUUAGUUGCCAUCAUUUAGUUGGGCACUCUAAGGGGACUGCCGGUGAUAAGCCGCGAGGAAGGUGGGGAUGACGUCAAGUCCUCAUGGCCCUUACAGGUUGGGCUACACACGUGCUACAAUGGCGGUGACAAUGGGAUGCAAUGGAGCAAUCCUGCGCAAAUCUCAAAAAGCCGUCUCAGUUCGGAUUGGGGUCUGCAACUCGACCCCAUGAAGUUGGAAUCGCUAGUAAUCGCAGAUCAGCACGCUGCGGUGAAUA
rnacentral:rRNA from 1 species